GACAACACAGAAAUACCAUCUGAACCAAGGAACAAGGUGCAUUGCAUGGCCUACGUCGCUGAUCUGAAUCAAUUUCUAAACAUGGAAUUAGAUGAUUUGGAGAAGUUGAAGAAAUUUGGGAACCAUGCACGUCGUAAACAUAAUAUCAACACGUUUGUUAUAAUCACCAAAAUAGAUGCGUAUUUAUCUGGGAAAACAUCAAUUCGUGACAUCUACAAAGUGAAGGACAUUGAGAUGCAGAUGAAGAAAAUAUGUUCAGCUUUAGAAUGCGAUAAGAAGUUCAUCUUCCCAAUCAUAAACUAUAGCGACUGCUUUAACUUGAACUACGAUAAAAAUAUCCUCGCCUUGUCUCUCUUGAGCGCACUCGUUGACACCGCUUCUGAUUGCAUGUCCAAUAAUAAAGACAGCAGCGAAUGAAAAGGAACAAACUCCCAUUCCACAUCAGUCUCUCAUCCUUACUUUCCUUCUUUCGCUCAGCCCUCAAGUCCUUUCUCUUUUCCAUUGCCUUUCCUUUUCCACUGCGUCCACCCCUACCAGUUUAUUCCCUCGCCUCUGUCUCACUCCCAGCCCCCAGUCCUCUUCCUCCUAUGAACCCGAAUUCCUGACUGGGCCCCCACGUUUCUCUAUGCACACCGACCCAGAUCUCUCCUCUAGCCCUACACGGUGCUCCUCAUUCAGCUCAACUAUCCGGCCACCAGACACGCUGCCCCUACCACCAUCCAUGCCCAUUUGACCACUUCAUGCUUGUGCCACAUACCCCGCUUCCUCUCAUCCUCGUUGCAUCCAUCCGUCACUCUCACUCAGAAUCACAUUCCACCUUAUUCUGCUUUACCUACCCCAGCAACAUCAGCUCAUUUCCCAGCCCUUGUCCCUCCAUACAUUCCGUCACCUCCCUCACUGACAGACGCUCCACCCCACUCGUUGCUCCGUUUGCCACAUGUGUACUGCCGUCGGUUUGCAUUGUAAAGCGCCCUGGAAAGAGCGCUGCUAUAUAAAUCCUUAUUACAAUAGAAUGUUAUACUGUGCUAAGAAACAUAAUGGUAUGCAGUGGAUUGAGGAAAUGUCGAAAUGAUAAGUGUUACUAAAAAAUACUCGGAUAUUACUAUGCAUCUCGAUCAGAGCUUGUACAAUCAAUAGGUGUAACCACAUUUUGAUCUACAUGUGACUUGGAAAAGUCUGACGAUAAUGAAUAAUAAUCUACAUUUUCAGUGUUCAUAGUUGUCACUUGAAGCUUACUGCAUGCGUAUUAGGAUUCAUAAUUACGGUAUUUACCCUUUUUCCUGGUGAGAUGUGGUUAUUAUGAGGUCUCCUUCCACUGCAAAUAUCUAGAAUAAUCUCACUGCUGUUUCUGAAUUUAAUGUAUCUUCAAUUCGAAUUAUAAAUUAUCUGCAUCGUUGAGGUAUGGGUUUUUUGUCUUCAGGAGAUGUGACGAUGGCGUGAAUCUGCGUAACUCCACGUUGGUCCUCACCAGACUACGUUAGCGCCAUCACCUUGAUGGCGAAUGAGCAAACUCUAUUCUGCUAGUUUGUCAGUAUUCUUACAACAACGUCAUAGCAUUACUGUGGUAGUGGUUACUGGUAGAGUAAUGAAUUAUAACAAUAAUUAAAAUAACUGUAGGUGAUUGGUAAUUGUGAUGUAAAGCUUUCGUGACUGCAGGAAUUCAUAUUAUUUG